CAUGUGGCUAGCUGCUAUUAUGUUGGAUAGUACAUAUCUACAUAAAUAUAGCAAUUAGGAGAGGAACAGUGACAUGGAUCAUCUGCCCAGUGAGUAACUGUGAAUUAUAUAUAUUUGACUUCAGAAUGCCAAGCAGACCUUGCUAAUUAUUGUUUUACCCUGGCUUAGAAAAUCAUCUAACAUGAUUUACUUAGCCCUCUGAGCUAUGAGAGAUAAAGAACAUAUAUAAGGUCAGGGUAACUGAAAUGGAGAGCAAGAGUAGGAUUCCUGGUAGCUUUGUCAUUUAAAUUGUUGAGUUUCAGGUGCCUCGUGACAACUGACAGAGUUGUCAGAAUGCUAAAUUUAAGUUUUGAAGCUGUUUGUUUGCAUUUAGGUUGAGGCCAUGGGAGCAAAUGAAACCUAUUAAUGAGAGACUGUAGAGGCAUAAAAAAAGGUCAAGGAUGAGUCCCUAGGGCAUGUCAACAUUAGAGACAAGAAGACUGAGAAUAGUGCUCAUACUGGUAAAAGAACCCAGAAUAACUAGCUUCUCAGAAACCAAGCGUCUCAGUUGCAAAAUUAUUUUCUCCUUGGGAAGCCGACUGAAUUUGGAGUCAUUUCCCAAUGUAUGUACAUAUGUUCCACUAAAAAUUCACCUAAAUCAGAAAAAUAAGAUAAAAACUAAAUGACAAGAGAAUAGUUACGUGAAAAACAAUUCAGCAGAUACACACAUCUCAAAGUUUGUACAUCUUUUUCUACUAAGUUUUCCACACACAAAAAAAAUGUCUCUUUUUACUUUCUCAAACUAUGUUGAAAGAAAAGAGAAAUAUCAGGCUUUAUAUUUUAUUUUCUUUGUUUUACAUAAAUUUGCUAAUCCCUGUCAUGAUGGAUGUUACCAAACCUGGUGAGUCAUCGUAACACAGUGAGCUAGGCUUAGGAAUCAGAGACACAGUGUAAAGGAUAAACCACAUUCUGCAAAUAACUUUUUUAAAGGUGGUUUCCUUAGAAAAAUGUAUUAACAUUACUUUUCUUUUUUUGCAAGAAGAUGGGAAAAAUAACCCAUUUCAACAAAUAAUCUAUUUCAACAGAAAAACUCCUGUACUGAGGUCUGGUUUAAAAUACAAAUGAAAAUAUUGUGAAGAUAUCCACAAAAAAACUAUUAAUUAGUAGACCAGGAGCUAAGAAUGAAACACUUAUCACACUCCUGCUAACAUCUUAUUUUAAAAUUUGUUUGAGUGGGGUUUUUUUCCUUCCCAUGAAAUAAUACAUAGUAAUUAAAGCCAGCAAGUCUCUGAUUAGUACGAAAAUGUUACUCUAUUAAAUUAAGAGUAAUACUGUCUUCUGUGUGCAUAGCAGGCUAAAACCUGAAGGAUCCUCAAGAGGUUGUUUGUGUGUAGGGUAAGGACUUCAUCAGUAUGAGGACUAGGAAGAGGAUGCUAAGAACACUGGACCUUUCAAAAUGGUAAGGACAGUUUGCUUACUUGGGAAAUUGGCAGGGCAUAGUCAUGCAGAAAAAAAUUUGGCAGAUCAGGCAAUAACAGCCAUAACACUCAGGAUCUGCCUGGCUAAGAAGUUAUUCAACACCAUUAUUUAACUAUUUUAUUUAAUAAUUAAACUAAGUACAAUCAUUCAAUUGCUGGCCCAAAGUUUCCAGCUAUUCUCUUAGCCUAUCCUAUUGCCAUAUUAUUUAUUACUGCUGGCCUUCUGAAGCCAGUUAGGAACUAAAAUAUCUAGUGGUCUUGAAUAACCACUGUGUGUCUGUUGAAUCUGAUGGUCUGCGCUUCGAUCAUGUACUGAUAACCUUUCAAAUACUCAUAAAGCAAAUAUGUAAAAGCAAGCAACUAGGUUAGGAAGAAUGACAAUUAAGUCAUUCCCCCAGGCACUUUCAUAGCAUGCUUUGAAAUUUCCUUGCAGCUCAUUUAAUAGUUAUAAUUUUACAUGUAUCUGUAUCAUUCUUUACUAAGUAAUGGCUAUAUUACAAUUGCAUAGCACAGAAUCUGGUUUAUGAUGGGCAUGUAAUAUGGUGUUGAAUAAAUGAAUGAAUGGACAAUCAAGCAGAUGAUUUUUAGUUCAGCAAUUCUCUUCAAUUAGAUUUUAAGGCUUAUAGAUUUGGAUAUGUUCACUUCACCAAAAAUAAUAUGAAAUUUCACUAGCCCAGGACAUAUUGGAAAUUCCAGUACACCUCACAUUUUCUUUUUUCUUUGCAUUGUCCUUGACCUAAAAGUUUGCUAGGCAAAUUGAUUAUAUGAGCAAGUUUCCAGGAAAUGUAAACAAUAUUUCACAGAAUGUUCAACUUAUUAAGGUCACAAUCUUUUCAAAUUACUUGGAAGGCAUCAAAUUGAAUUUAGAUGUUAUGCUAUUCAUUACACUUCAUCCAAUUCAAAAAUCUGUACGUUAUUUCCAGAUAACCCUUCCAUAGGAUAAAGAGCAUCAAAGUUGCAUUUCAAGAACCACCUUUCACUAAAUUCAGAUGGCCUUUUCUUCAGUUGGUCUGAGUCAGGAAAGUUUUAAUAUGUAUUUUUUUUAAUAUUUGAAAAAAAAAAAACUCUCA
rnacentral:lncRNA from 1 species